rnacentral:pre_miRNA from 1 species
CUCGGGGCAGUGGUUCCCUCAGCCUGGAUUGUAAGAGUGUGCAGGCCAGGCCGAGGGACCCCACUGGUGCACA